UACGGAGGGUGCGAGCGUUAAUCGGAAUUACUGGGCGUAAAGUGUGCGCAGGCGGCGCCGCAAGUCGAGUGUGAAAGCCCCGGGCUUAACUUGGGAAUUGCGCUCGAAACUAUGGUGCUGGAGUGUGGCAGAGGAAGGUGGAAUUCCACGUGUAGCGGUGAAAUGCGUAGAGAUGUGGAGGAACACCGAUGGCGAAGGCAGCCUUCUGGGCCAACACUGACGCUCAUGCACGAAAGCGUGGGGAGCAAACAGG
rnacentral:rRNA from 1 species